rnacentral:rRNA from 1 species
UACGUAGGGGGCAAGCGUUGUCCGGAAUCAUUGGGCGUAAAGAGCGUGUAGGCGGUCAGGUAGGUCGGUUGUGAAAACUGGAGGCUCAACCUUCAGAGGUCGACCGAAACCCCCUGGCUAGAGUCCGGGAGAGGAGAGUGGAAUUCCUGGUGUAGCGGUGAAAUGCGCAGAUAUCAGGAAGAACACCCGUGGCGAAAGCGGCUCUCUGGAACGGUACUGACGCUGAGACGCGAAAGCGUGGGGAGCGAACAGG